rnacentral:rRNA from 1 species
AUUGAACGCUGGCGGCAUGCCUUACACAUGCAAGUCGAACGGCAGCACGGACUUCGGUCUGGUGGCGAGUGGCGAACGGGUGAGUAAUGCAUCGGAACGUGCCAUUGAGUGGGAGAUAACGUAGCGAAAGUUGCGCUAAUACCGCAUAUUCUGUGAGCAGGAAAGUAGGGGACCGCAAGGCCUUGCGCUCUUUGAGCGGCCGAUGUCAGAUUAGCUAGUUGGUGAGGUAAAGGCUUACCAAGGCGACGAUCUGUAGCGGGUCUGAGAGGAUGAUCCGCCACACUGGAACUGAGACACGGUCCAGACUCCUACGGGAGGCAGCAGUGGGGAAUUUUGGACAAUGGGGGGCAACCCUGAUCCAGCCAUGCCGCGUGAGUGAAGAAGGCCUCGGUGUAAG